rnacentral:rRNA from 1 species
UACGUAGGGGCCUAGCGUUGUCCGGAUUUAUUGGGCGUAAAGAGCUCGUAGGCGGCACCGCAAGUCGACUGUGAAAUCUCCGGGCUUAACCCGGAAAGGUCAGCCGAUACUGCGGGGCUAGAGUGCAGAAGGGGCAACUGGAAUUCUCGGUGUAGCGGUGAAAAUGCGCAGAUAUCAGGAGGAACACCAGUGGCGAAGGCGGUGCUCUGGGCCGGAACUGACGCUGAGGAGCGAAAGCGUGGGGAGCAAACAGG